GACGAACGCUGGCGGCGUGCUUAACACAUGCAAGUCGAACGGAAAGGCCCUGCUUUUGUGGGGUGCUCGAGUGGCGAACGGGUGAGUAACACGUGAGUAACCUGCCCUUGACUUUGGGAUAACUUCAGGAAACUGGGGCUAAUACCGGAUAGGAGCUCCUGCUGCAUGGUGGGGGUGGGAAAGUUUCGGCGGUUGGGGAUGGACUCGCGGCUUAUCAGCUUGUUGGUGGGGUAGUGGCUUACCAAGGCUUUGACGGGUAGCCGGCCUGAGAGGGUGACCGGCCAAAUUGGGACUGAGAUACGGCCCAGACUCCUACGGGAGGCAGCAGUGGGGAAUAUUGCACAAUGGGCGGAAGCAUGAUGCAGCAACGCCGCGUGCGGGAUGACGGCCUUCGGGUUGUAAACCGCUUUCGCCUGUGACGAAGCGUGAGUGACGGUAAUGGGUAAAGAAGCACCGGCUAACUACGUG
rnacentral:rRNA from 1 species